UCCCUGGUGGUUCAAUGGUCAAGACUCUGCCCUUCCAAAGCAGGGGGUGUGGGUUUGAUCCCUGGUCAGGGAA
rnacentral:tRNA from 1 species